CUAACACAUGCAAGUCGAGCGGAUGACGGGAGCUUGCUCCUUGAUUCAGCGGCGGACGGGUGAGUAAUGCCUAGGAAUCUGCCUGGUAGUGGGGGACAACGUUUCGAAAGGAACGCUAAUACCGCAUACGUCCUACGGGAGAAAGCAGGGGACCUUCGGGCCUUGCGCUAUCAGAUGAGCCUAGGUCGGAUUAGCUAGUUGGUGGGGUAAUGGCUCACCAAGGCGACGAUCCGUAACUGGUCUGAGAGGAUGAUCAGUCACACUGGAACUGAGACACGGUCCAGACUCCUACGGGAGGCAGCAGUGGGGAAUAUUGGACAAUGGGCGAAAGCCUGAUCCAGCCAUGCCGCGUGUGUGAAGAAGGUCUUCGGAUUGUAAAGCACUUUAAGUUGGGAGGAAGGGCAGUAAGUUAAUACCUUGCUGUUUUGACGUUACCGACAGAAUAAGCACCGGCUAACUCUGUGCCAGCAGCCGCGGUAAUACAGA
rnacentral:rRNA from 1 species